CUACGGGGCGCAGCAGUGAGGAAUAUUGCACAAUGGGGGGAACCCUGAUGCAGCAACGCCGCGUGGAGGAUGACGCAUUUCGGUGUGUAAACUCCUUUUAUAUGUCAAGAAAAUGACGGUAGCAUAUGAAUAAGCACCGGCUAACUCCGUGCCAGCAGCCGCUGUAAUACGGAGGGUGCAAGCGUUACUCGGAAUCACUGGGCGUAAAGGACGCGUAGGCGGGUUGGAAAGUCAGGUGUGAAAUCCUACAGCUUAACUGUAGAACUGCACUUGAAACUUCUAAUCUAGAGUAUGGGAGGGGGAGAUGGAAUUAGUGGUGUAGGGGUAAAAUCCGUAGAUAUCACUAGGAAUACCUAAAGCGAAAGCGAUCUCCUGGAACAUUACUGACGCUAAGGCGUGAAAGCGUGGGGAGCAAACAGGAUUAGAUACCCCGGUAGUC
rnacentral:rRNA from 1 species